rnacentral:rRNA from 1 species
GGAUCAAAUCAAGCGCGAAAAGGGCGUUUGGUGGAUGCCUUGGCAGUAAGAGGCGAUGAAGGACGUGAUACUCUGCGAUAAGCGUAGGUUAGCCGAGAAUAGGCUUUGAUCCUUNCGAUUUCCU